AGACAUCCCACAGGUUAUAGCCUGGAUUAACCCGCACUCCCUAAAAGAUAUGACAUCGCCGAACAUAGCACCAUCAAUGUCAUAUCAGAUUUGAAAUCAAGACAUUAUCUUGCUACUUGCAUCAUACUAUACCAUCUACAUCAUAGCAAGUUUGAUCUGUGUAACGGGUGUACUUCAAUUAACAAUCUAGCACUAUUCUAAUACAGAUUAUGAAUUGAUUAAGAAAAGAAAGAGAAAAGAAAUCAGAAGAAAAGAUUGUAUGAAGAGAGUUUUUAUAGAGCAAAGUUUGAGAUGAAAGAAUAUCAGAAGCUGCUUCACAAUGAAGUGUGAAAUAAAAGAACAUUAAAAGCUAUAUAAAAGAAUUGUUAGAAAGUAUAUAAAUAUAGAGUG
rnacentral:sRNA from 1 species